rnacentral:rRNA from 1 species
UACGUAGGGUGCAAGCGUUGUCCGGAAUUAUUGGGCGUAAAGAGCUCGUAGGCGGUCUGUCGCGUCGGCCGUGAAAACCUGCAGCUUAACUGUGGGCGUGCGGUCGAUACGGGCAUCACUGGAGUUCGGCAGGGGAGACUGGAAUUCCUGGUGUAGCGGUGAAAUGCGCAGAUAUCAGGAGGAACACCGGUGGCGAAGGCGGGUCUCUGGGCCGUAACUGACGCUGGAGGAGCGAAAGCCGUGGGGAGCGAACAGG